rnacentral:rRNA from 1 species
AAUGAACGCUGGCGGCGUGCCUAACACAUGCAAGUCGUACGAGAAAGGGGCUUCGGCCCUGAGUAGAGUGGCGCACGGGUGAGUAACGCGUGGGUAAUCUGCCCUUGGAUUUGGAAUAACUCCGCGAAAGUGGAGCUAAUACCGGAUAGUCUGGCUUUUAAUAGAAGUCGGUAAAGGAUGCCUCUGCAUAUGCAUUCGUCCGAGGAUGAGCCCGCGUCUCAUUAGCUAGUUGGUAGGGUAAUGGCCUACCAAGGCAACGAUGAGUAGCUGGUCUGAGAGGAUGAUCAGCCACACUGGAACUGAAACACGGUCCAGACUCCUACGGGAGGCAGCAGUGGGGAAUAUUGCGCAAUGGGCGAAAGCCUGACGCAGCAACGCCGUGUGAGGGAUGAAGGCUUUCGGGUCGUAAACCUCUGUCAGAAGGGAAGAACGGGCAUUGGUCUAAUAGGCCUUUGUUUUGACGGUACCUUCAGAGGAAGCACCGGCUAACUCCGUGCCAGCAGCCGCGGUAAUACGGAGGGUGCAAGCGUUAUUCGGAAUUACUGGGCGUAAAGCGCACGUAGGCGGCCUUGUAAGUCAGGGGUGAAAUCCCACGGCUCAACCGUGGAACUGCCUUUGAAACUGCAGGGCUUGAAUCCUGGAGAGGGUGGCGGAAUUCCUGGUGUAGGAGUGAAAUCCGUAGAUAUCAGGAGGAACACCGGUGGCGAAGGCGGCCACCUGGACAGGUAUUGACGCUGAGGUGCGAAAGUGUGGGGAGCAAACAGGAUUAGAUACCCUGGUAGUC